UACAGAGGGGGCAAGCGUUGUUCGGAAUUACUGGGCGUAAAGGGCGCGUAGGCGGUCAGCACAAGUCAGUUGUGAAAUCUCCGGGCUUAACUCGGAAAGGUCAACUGAUACUGUGCGACUAGAGUGCAGAAGGGGCAACUGGAAUUCUCGGUGUAGCGGUGAAAUGCGUAGAUAUCGAGAGGAACACCUGCGGCGAAGGCGGGUUGCUGGGCUGACAUUGACGCUGAUGCGCGAAAGCCAGGGGAGCGAACGGG
rnacentral:rRNA from 1 species